rnacentral:lncRNA from 1 species
ACUGAGCUGUUCCCUGCGCUAAGGUGCUUCUUCCUAAGUGCUGUUCAGAUUUUUAAAAUAGCCAGACAAGUUGCUGCUUUUCCUGUGGUUAAAAUAGAUUUAGCUUGAUAUUGGGAAUUUAAUACAAAAUUAUUCAACUCUGGGUUGCAGGGCCCCAGGAACUUUAGCCGAUUGCUGUGUACUAUGGAUUUGGUUCUUUUACUGUCUUUUUAAUUUAAAGUUGAAGUUGAAAAGUUUGUCAAACUCAGUAUAUUCUUGGGGAUCCCAGGCCUCGGAGGUCUGCAAUAGUUAUGAGUGUAGGUGAAGCGUGUUUGCUUAGGACCGGAUUGAUUUUAGAUUUUUUUUCCAUUCAUAGCGUCCGUCAUUUUCGCACCACAGCUUUUUGUAGCACUUCCUCUCAUUAUAAAUCCCUGAGCUGGAAGAAAAACAGAAACGGCCUAUGUACCCUCUACCUAGCACACUGAAGUGCAGCUUCCUGCACCUCCAGGGCAAGACGGCUACCUCCAUUCCUUUUUAAAUGUAUUUUUACCUUCCUGCCUGGCACUAUUAAGUGCUAAAUAAAUGAAUAAGAGGAGGAAUGGGGAUUUUACGUGCUUGGUGGAGGCUGCUCAGUUUUGUUGCUGGGCAGACGUGCGAACAUGAACUAAUAAUCCCUUUGGGUGUCUGGAAUGCCUGCCCAGGUUGCCAAGGCAAGACACAUAAUCACAUAAUUUUUAAAAGCAUCUAUAAAUCUAUACAAACUUUAAAAAUAUGAACUAGGCUGGGCACGAUGGCUCACGCCUGUAAUCCCAACACUUUGGGAUGCUGAGGUGGGUGGAUCACGAGGUCAGGAGUUCGAGACCAGCCUGGCCAACAUAGUGAAACCCGUCUCUACUAAAAAUACAAAAAUUAGCCGGGCGUGGUGGUGCAUGCCUGUAGUCCCAACUACUUGGGAGGCUGAGGCAGAAUUGCUUGAAGCCGGGAGGUGGAGAUUGUGGUGAGCCGAGAUCGCACCACUUCACUCCAGCCUGGACAACAGAGUGAGAUUCUGUCUCAAAAAUAAAUAAAUAAAUAAAUGUAAAAAUAUAAACUAGGUAGGAGUUGUGAGACUUACAAAACCUUCAAGGCUCUUAUUGAUUGCUAGGAAAUUAAAUACAUAAUUUAAAGAACAUAAGAUAGCCCAGAAGUAUCAUUAUCCCGUUGGGGAAGUGUUAAUUAAAAGAUAUAAUAAAGACAAAUUUUCUAAGUUCCUUUCAUGGGGUUUGGAAGAGGAACAAGUCAUCUGUGCUGGAGUAAUCAUAACCCAAUGGCAGGUGAAACUGGAAACUUGGGUGAAACAGGGUAAGAAAGCCAGAAAAACAUACAUUGUCCUCUGAGUAAAUUUUCCUUAGCUCCUGGGCUGAGUAUUUUUAUGCAGCCUUAAGGAAUUAGGACAUGCCUUUAGCAAAAAUUGUAAAAUACAAUACAUGGAAAAUUGGUCUUAGUACCCCACUGAUCUCUCUAGCCUCUUCCUGUUUUUUAAGGUAUUUGUGUUUCUUCUGGUGGAAAGAGCCUGAUCUGUUACCUCCUACUAUGUCUAUUUCUCCAAAUUCUUUCUUCUUAAAUAAAAAUUCCUGUCAGAGAAACAGCUAAAUUACACUAUAGUGGGAAUGGCUGAUAGAAGGUCUCAAUAUAUCAACUUUUCCAUGGAUAUUUGUAUGUAUGUAUGUAUGUAUGUAUUUAUUUUUUGAGAUGGAGUCUUGCUCUAUCGCCCAGGCUGGAGUUCACUGGUGUAAUCUCAGCUCACUGCAACCUCCACCUCCUGCAUUCAAGCGAUUCUCUUGCCCCAGCCUCCUGAGUAGCUGGGAUUGCUACUGCCUACUACCAUGCCCGGCUAAUUUUUGUAUUUUAAGUAGAGACAGGUUUUGCCAUUUUGGCCAGGUUGGUCUUGAACUCCUGACACAGGUGAUCCACCCACCGCCCCCACCCCCCCGACCUCCCAAAAUGCUGGGAUUACAGGUGUGAGCCACCGUGCCCAGCCGGAUAUUUGUAUUUAAAUAACUAAUAUGCAAUCCCUAUAGAAUCUACCCGAUUCAGUGUCUUCUUAGUGGCUACUAAAAUACCUACUGGAUCCACUGUCCAGUUUGCCUAAAUUGUAGCUGUUUCUUAAGUUAAAUUCGUCUGGAUAUUUGGUUCCUUCUGGAGUAGUUUUCCUUUGACUAACACUUGAAGAAUAAUUUUCAUUUUAGUUCUAGAAGUAACCUUCUGUUACUCUCACUUAGGUGCUCUUUUGGGCCUAAAUAUAAUUAGAUCCUUCGCCGUUGUUUUGAGGUAAAUCUAAACGAAAAGGAACACCUGUUAACAGGUAGUGAUGCCGCAGGAAAGUGCUGGGAAGGGAAUGCUGGGAAGGGAAGGGCGUGGUCCCUUUAAAUGAUAAGGAAGGGGGGCGGGAAGUGCUGGGUAGAGGAGGGCGUGGUCCCCAGCUAGGGCUUCAUCCCUGGGCCUGGGCCUACCUAGGUGAAGACAGGCAUUUUUGUUUUCCUGCCCGGAUGUUGCAUUUCCCAAGACCACCCUGGCCUGCCAUGCCCUCAUCCUGUGCCUUUAAAAACCCCCGAGACCCUGGCAGGCAGACGCACAAGCAGCUGGACAUUGAGAGGAGCAUAUAGGCAGAGAAUACAGGGGCUGCUGGAUGUCGAAAGGAACGCACCAGCAUAGGAGCACACCGGCAUGCUGGCAGGCCAUUGACCAGCGGAAGAAUGCAGAGUUUGUCGCGGGAGGUCAGAGAAGAGUCAGGCCGCCAUACCUGACUCCAGGAGAAAACCGUCUCCCUUCUGGUUCCCCCGUCUGCCGAGAGCUACUUCCACUCAAUAAAACUUUCCACUCAUUCUUCAAGCCCACGUGUGAUCCAAUUCUUCCCGUACACCAAGGUCUCGCUGUGUUUCCCAGGCUGGGUGCAGUGGCUAUUCAAAGGUACAAUGAUAGCUCACUGCAGCCUGGAACUCCUGGACUCAAGCGAUCCUCCUGCCUCAGCUGCGACUAACAGCUCCAAGUUUAGAAGACCCUACGACGUGACUCACACGUGCUUUUGACUCGAUGAAACGCUCCAAACACAACUGCUUCCCACCGCCUCCACUGCUGCCUCUUGUCCCUGCAGCAUCAUCUCUCACCCACAUUGGCCACAGCGGCUUGUUGUUGGUGUUCCUGCUUCUACUUUUGACUUGUUUCUAUUGUCUUCCAUGCCCACUGGAACUGUAAUUAUUUUUUGCAAAUUGCUGGUAAUGAUGUAUACCUGGCAGCUGACCGUCAAAUCUUAUGAAGGAUUAAAACAUAAAGUUUGCAUUAAAGGUCAAAACAGUCACAAGCCUGCUCAAAUUCGGAAAGAGGGGACGGAAAUGGAACCUCUUCAUGGGAGGAAGAAACAGGGUCUUGCUCUGUUGCCCUGGCUGGAGUGCAAUGGUAUGAUCAUAGCUCACAGUAGCCUUGAACUCCUGGGCCCAAGCCAUCCUCCUACCUCAGCAACCAGAGUAGCUGGGAUUACAGGCGAAUGCCACCACACCUGGAAUUGGAAAAAUGAAUGUAAUUUGACAUAUGUCUUGAGUCUGGUUGGCUUCUGAGGAACUUGUGUGCAUCUCAUCAGUAUGCAUCUUAAGAACUGAAAUGACCCUACUUCAGCAUUGUGAGAAGACAUGCAUUCUCUUCGUAUAAAUAAUGUGGAUCUUACAUGUAAAGUAUUAUAAAGAUUAGCUGUUUAACAACUUAAAUAAGCUUGUGAAUAAUAAAUUAAUAACAAUGUUAUGCUAAUACGUAACUAUGAUAUUUGCUGAACAAAAUAAAUUUGCCUACUUUGGAAGCAGAUUGGGUGGUUUAAUAUAUCAGCAAAAGAGUGUUUUUAAAAAAUAUCAAAGUUCUGUUAAUCAAAACGUUUAUUGUAGGACAGUUAGUAAUGUUUUGUUUGCCAACUUAUAUUACAAAGUCUCUGUCUUAAGUGUUUCCUUGCAAAUAAAAUGACAAUACUGCCUUACAUUUUAUUACUUUAGAGUUUGCAAAAUAUCUUCAUUAUAAUAUUUCAUUUAGUAGACAUGCCUAUGGGAACAUUACUUCCAGAAUUAAAAACAUUAUUUUUGUUUUGGUAUAUUUUUAAACUACAAAUGAUAGAAAGGCAAGUAAAUGUAAGUUUUUCUCUAGUUAUUUGUUCAAAUGCUAAUUUAAAACAUUUGUACAUUUCUAAUACAAACAUUCCUUAUUUGAGAAAAAAUGGAUUUCUUAAAAACAAAAUGCAUUUUAAAGCAGAGAGACAGGGCAUUGAGCUGAAAAUGGUGGCUGGAAGUUGGGAUCUGUAAGAGAAGUUGAAUGUGCCCCGAGGCAUAAAGCUGCUAAUUUUGUUUUAUUGGAUUUUACUGUAGCUAUUAAUAUAUUUUGCUGGAGAUUUAUGUGAUCAAUUUAUCUUAUGGCCAGAACUAAUUCCCUUAGUAUAUUUUAUUAGAAUAUGUGACUUUUUCUAAAUUUAGCUUUAUUUUUCAUAUUUUCCAUAAAUGGCAAAGAUUCUAUGUUUCCAGACAUGUUAAGUAUUGCAAGAAUUAUUGGAGCACCUAAAGAUAAAUAAUAUCAAAAUAGUGUCAUUGUUUCCCUUAGUUUCUCCUUCUCCCCCACAAAUAAACCAAGAGGUAUUUAGUUAUACUAUUGCAUGUCUCUAGCUUUAUUGGAUUCUUCCAUGAAAGAAAAAUGGAUUACAUUUUUGGUUGUGUGGCCCUCGUUGCCCUAUUGCACUUUUGAUAAUAUUUGCCUGUGACAAGUAGUUAUUUUUCAUUACCACAUUCAAUCAUGGGUAAUAAAAUAUUUUAAUAAUGGUGAAUGUGAAGUUAAUUAAUAACCCGCAGGUAUGGCAGCUAGACAGGAUUGCUCUCCAUCUCAAACACAAGGAAAACAAUUCCAUCGGUAGUUAUAAAUUUGCAUAUGAAUGUCAAAUAUAUGAGGUUUUGAAUAAAAAUCAUUUCUGAGUAAAAGUGUACAUCGGCAAGCUGUAUUUAAGUUCCGUAUUUAUAGAUAAAUUAUUUCAGAAUAUGUUAGUUACUAUGAAUCAUAAUCAGAGUUCUUCAGUUAGGGAACUCUUGUAGUGCGUCAGUAGGUAUCAAUAUUGAAAUAUUUGAUAUUAUUUAACAUGUUUUGCAACUUAGUUGAGUGUAUAUAUGGUUUUACAUAUAUUUAAGACAUAUAGAUUAGUGAAAUUUAUUUUGGAAUGAGUUGUUGCUUUAUGUAUUAUAAAUACAGAAAUAUUAUGCAAAGUAAUUUUAGGUUUAUUGGCAUG